rnacentral:rRNA from 1 species
GACAGAGGGGGCAAGCGUUGCUCGGAAUCACUGGGCGUAAAGGGCGCGUAGGCGGGAUGGCAAGUCAGUCGUGAAAUCUCUCGGCUCAACCGAGAAACGUCGGCUGAUACUGCCGUUCUUGAGGGAUGCAGAGGAGACUGGAAUUCCCGGUGUAGCGGUGAAAUGCGUAGAUAUCGAGAGGAACACCUGCGGCGAAGGCGGGUUGCUGGGCCGACACUGACGCUGAUGCGCGAAAGCCAGGGGAGCGAACGGG